CAGCCACCACAUCUAUUGGUCAAACAGAGCUGGACAGACAAGGUUAACCCACAUUUGUAAGCAAGGCUGGGGAUACAAGCUACCCCUUCUAAGUCCCUACAGUUAGGUGUUUGUAAGAUUUUUCGUUUUUUUGCUGUGUGAGAUGUAGUUGUUGCAGAAGAAGCAGAGAUGCCUAUAUCUUCUGGAGCUGAGGGUAGAGUAGAUGUGGGGAUAGAUACAGCCAUAGCAUGGACACCAGUUGGGGUGAAGAAAGAGGCAAAACCGGUCAAGAACAGGGAUUCCUAUCUAAGAAGGUAUCUGGAAAGCCAGGCAGGGAAGAAAGAGCACAAUAGCACCAUUUUGGGGGAUACCAGUCAACACCUUGCUGGUCCAGAUGGAGAGAACAUGGACACUUUCUCACCCAGUGUGAGCAGAAAUCCUAACACGCAAAAGAAGAAUGGAGGCAGUGAUGAAGGCAAAGCCUCAGGAAAACAAACCAACGAAAACAGCUCGAAAAAAUCCCAAACAUGUACCCUUCUUUAGAGACACAGCACUAUGAAUGGGCUGCACACUUGUGGCUUUGAUGCCCAACACCAUAAUGUUUUACUUAGUGUCAUAUAAUCCCAUUGUAUUGAGUCUUUAUGAUCACCCCAAGUUCUCUUCCUUGCCUGUUACUGUGAUGAAUCAAUAGAAACAACAUAGGGAGAGGGAGAAUAUAUGUUUUGGGGGAAUGACUAACUGCAAUCUAUGCCUUUCACUUUGCCUACUGAACAAUUGCCUUUUGUUAUUAUUGUACUGUUUGGCUCCCUUUCAUAACCUAUGUAUGAAUAGUGUCACAGUACAGUAUGCAAAACAUUUCAAAGCGUCAACUGACAAGUGUUUUUCUGAUUCUGACUACCUUGUUCUGGUAGCUUAGCUUGUUAAUGAACACACCACUAAAAGAGAGAACAGC